UCACACAGACAAAAUAUACAUACUACUGUGUCUGUGAGAAUCAGGGCUUCCUCUCAAUGUAUGCCAUUUGAUCUAUGGUGUCCACAGAAAAUAACGGUAGGAACUGGUACCAGAACCAUGCUUACAUCUAAUACAGCCUCUAGUCUAGAAGCAACAAGGAAACUUUGCAGUAUUUUUUUCGUACCCCCCAGGGCAAUUGAACUGAUUCCAGAGGCUGAUCCAAAACAAUGCCGGUGGAGAAGAGAUAUUCGGUGUGGACUUCUAGUCCGACUCAGGAGGCGCGCACACCACCCACCGCGUCUGAGUAUAUUACUCACUAAUGUUCAGUCUCUGGAUAAUAAAGUUGACGAGCUCAGGGUGAGGAUUUCCUUCCAGAGAGACAUCAGAAUUAUGUAACUGCUACAAUGCUCUCCUGCAAGACUUGGCGAAAACCAAAAACGAAGUGGAGGGCUGGCAUCAAAUUUUCGCCGAAUCUUGGUGGUACCCACCCCACCAUUUGGAAGUUCGAGGCAUUGCAUCGACAGCAGCAAAGAGGUGAAAUGAGAAUGGAGCCGCAACUUGCUGGUGUUCCACUGCGUUUGCAAAGACCACGACUCCAACUGCUGGAGUCUUACCUGAAGAGCGUUGGCUACACUUUUAAGUUUCAGUUGUGAAUACUCCAAAAUCCAUCAGAGAAAAAUGUGCACUUCUUUGUGACACAUCAAUUUCAACCCUUUCAAUGACUCCAAAAUCCUUAACAGACCAGAACAGUAAGCAUAUUACUGGAUAAUGUAUUCCUGAACUAGAUACAAUGAAAAUACAUUCUUUAAAACAAAAAUACAUUGUAGAAACUAGAUAUAGGCCUAGAUAUAGUAUGGUCUGUUUGUAGCCAAAUUUAUAUACAACAUUCUGCCCAUAUGAACGAAUCGAUAAUCCUGAAUGAAUCCUGAAUAAUGAUGAGUGAGAGUUAGACGCACAAAUAUCAUACCCCCAAGACAUUCUAACCUCUCACCAUUACAAUAACAGUUGAGGUUAAUAUUUGUGCAUCUAACUUUCUCCUUCAUCAUUAUUCACAAUUCAUUCAGGAUUAUCCGUAAUCAUGAUAGCAUCCACAUUAAUGUAGAAGUGUUUGGAAACAUAUUCUAUUUCUUAUUUUCUUAUUCCUAUUUACAAUAAACGUGAUUUCAAAAUGAUA